UACAGAGGUGGCAAGCGUUGUUCGGAAUUACUGGGCGUAAAGGGCGCGUAGGCGGCCCGUCAAGUCCCGUGUGAAAGCCCCCGGCUCAACCGGGGAACGGCGCGGGAAACUAGCAGGCUUGAGUUCGGGAGAGGGAAGCGGAAUUCCUGGUGUAGCGGUGAAAUGCGCAGAUAUCAGGAGGAACACCGGUGGCGAAGGCGGGUCUCUGGGCCGAUACUGACGCUGAGGAGCGAAAGCGUGGGGAGCGAACAGG
rnacentral:rRNA from 1 species